GCAUUUUUAGCUCACCGGGGCCCAAAGGGCCCCAUGUGAGCUUAUGCCAUCACUUGGCGUCCGUCGUCUGUUGUCGUAAACUAUUUCAAAAAUCUUCUUCUCUGAAACUACUGGGCCAAAUACCUUCAAACUUUAACUAAAUGUUCCUUAGGGUAUCUAGUUUAUGAAUUGUAUCCGAAGUUUUGAUCCAUCGACAAACAUGGCCACCAUGGCUAAAAAUAGAACAUAGAGGUCAAAUGCAGUUUUUUGCUUUUAUCUCAAAAACUAAAGCUUUUAGAGCAAAUCUGACAUGUGGUAAAAUUGUUCAAUUGGUGAAGAUCUAUCAGCCCUGAAAUUUUCAGACGAAUUAAACAACUCAUUGUUGGGUUGCUGCCACUAAAUUAGUAGUUUUAAGGAAAUUUUGCAGUUUUUAUACGACCGCAAAAAUUGAAAAUUUUUUGGUCGUAUAUUGGUAUGACGUUGGCGUCGUCGUCGUCGUCGUCGUCGUCGUCGUCGUCGUCGUCGUCGUCGUCUGGCGUCGUCCGGCGUCGUCCGAAGACACAUUGGUUUUCGCACUCUAACUUUAGUUUAAGUGAAUGGAUCUCCAUGAAAUUUUACCAUAAGGUUCAAUACCACGAAAGGAAGGUUGGGAUUGAUUUUGGGGGUUAUGGUACCAACAGUUAAGGAAUUAGGGGCCAAAAAGGGGCCAAAAAUAAGCAUUUUUGUAACUUCCAGACAAUAACUUGUGUGUAAGUGUAUGGAUCUCUCUGACAUUGUACCACAAGGUUCCAUAUCACAAAGGGAAGGCUGUAAUUGAUUUUGGGGGUAAUUGCCCCAAAAUUUUAGGAAUUAGGGGCCAAAAAAGGGGCAAAAAACAAGCAUUUUUCUAGUUUCAUGACAAUAACUUGUGUGUAAGUGUUUGGAUAUUUCUGAAAUUGUACUACAAGGUUCCAUAUCACAAAGGGAAAGCUGGAAUUGAGUUUGGGGGUAAUUGCCCGAAACGUUUAGGAAUUGGGGGCCAAAAAGGGGCCAAAAAUAAGCAUUUUUCUAGUUUCCAGACAAUAACUUGUGUUCAAGUGUAUGGAUCUCUCUGAAAUUGUACUGCAAGGUACCAUACCACAAAGGGAAGGCUGGGAUUGAGUUUGGGGGUGAUGAAUCAUAAGGGGAUUCAAAAAAUUGGGGGGGGGGAUUUUUUUUUUUUUUUUUCUUUUUUUUUUUUUUUUUCCUUUUUUUUUUCUUUUAAAAUUUUCCAUUUUAAGUUGGUUAUUUCUGAUUAAUAUUUAAAAGCAAAUAAUAAUGAUAUGGUAGGAGAUACACACCAAACAGGAUGUGUAAAUUAUUAUCUAAUAAGUAUUGUGCAAUAGCAAGAAAUUUUCAAUUGCACAGUAUUGCACAAUAGCAAGAAAUCUUCAAUUGCACAGUAUUGCGCAAUAGCAAGAAAUCUUCAAUUGCACAGUAUUGCGCAAUAGCAAGAAAUAUCCAAUAGCACAAUAUUGCACAAUAGCAAGAAAUUGUCAAUUGUACAGUAUUGCACAAUAGCAAGAAAUAUUCAAUUGCACAGUAUUGUGCAAAAGAAGAUACUUCGUAUAAAUUGCUUAUUUCUUGAUCAAUUUCAAUGGGGUUUUAUUCUUGAAUUCUUGGGGUUCUUUAAUAUGCUGAAUCUAACCGUGUAUUAAGUUUUUGGAUUUUUGGCCCCGUUUUUAAAUUGGUCCACAUUGAGGUCCAAAGGGUCCAAAAUUUAACUUUGUUUGAUUUCAUCAAAAAUUGAAUUAUUGGGGUUCUUUGAUAUGCCGAAUCUAACCGUGUAUUUAGAUUCUUAAUUUUUGGUUCCGUUUUCAAAUUGGUCUACAUUAAGGUCAAAAGGGUCCAAAAUUAAACUUAGUUUGAUUUUAACAAAAAUUGAAUUUUUAGGGUACUUUGAUAUGCUGAAUCUAAACAUGUAUUUAGAUUUUUGAUUAUGGGCCCAGUUUUCAAGUUGGUCCAAAUCGGGGUCCAAAAUUAAACUUUGUUUGAUUUCAACAAAAAUUGAAUAUAUGGGGUUCUUUGAUAUGCUGAAUCUAACCAUGUAUUUAGAUUUUUGAUUUUUGGGCCCCGUUAUCAACUUUGUCCACAUUGAGGUCAAAAGGGUCCAAAAUUAAACUUUGUUUGAUUUCAUCAAAAAUUGAAUUCUUGGGGUUCUUUGAUAUGCUGAAUCUAACCAUGUAUUUCGAUUUUUUAUUUGUGGACCCGCUAUCAAAUUGGUUCAUACUGAGGUCAAAAGGAUCCAAAAUUGAACUUUGUUUGAUUUCAUCAAAAAUUGAAUUAUUGGGGUUCUUUGAUAUGCCAAAUCCAACCGUGUAUUUAGAUUUUUAAUUUUGGGUCCCGUUUUUAAAUUGGUCUACAAUAAGGUCCAAAGGGUCCAAAAUUAAACUUAGUUUGAUUUUAACAAAAAUUGAAUUCUUGGGGUUCUUUGAUAUGCUGAAUCUAAACAUGUGUUUAGAUUUAUGAUUAUGGGCCCAGUUUUCAAGUUGGUCCAAGUUGGGGUUCAAAAUUAAACUUUGUUUGAUUUCAACAAAAAUUGAAUAUAUGGGGUUCUUUGAUAUGCUGAAUCUUACCAUGUAUUUAGAUUUUAGAUUUUUGGCCCAGUUUUCAAGUUGGUCCAAAUUGGGGUCCAAAAUUAAACUUUGUUUGAUUUCAACAAAAAUUGAAUAUAUGGGGUUCUUUGAUAUGCUGAAUCUUACCAUGUAUUUAGAUUUUUUAUUUGUGGGCCCGCUAUCAAAUUGGUUCAUAUUGAGGUCAAAAGGGUCCAAAAUUAAACUUUGUUUGAUUUCAUCAAAAAUUUAAUUAUUGGGGUUCUUUGAUAUGCCAAAUCUAGCCGUGUAUUUAGAUUUUUAAUUUUGGGUCCCGUUUUUUAAAUUGGUCUACAUUAAGGUCUAAAGGGUCCAAAAUUAAACUUUGUUUGAUUUUAACAAAAAUUGAAUUUUUGGGGUUCUUUGAUAUGCUGAAUCUAAACAUGUGUUUAGAUUUUUUAUUAUGGGACCAGUUUUCAAGUUGGUCCAAGUUGGGGUCCAAAAUUAAACUUUGUUUGAUUUCAACAAAAAUUGAAUAUAUGGGGUUCUUUGAUAUGCUGAAUCUAAACAUGUAUUUAGAUUUUAGAUUUUUGGCCCAGUUUUCAAGUUGGUCCAAAUUGGGGUCCAAAAUUAAACUUUGUUUGAUUUCAACAAAAAUAGAAUAUAUGGGGUUCUUUGAUAUGCUGAAUCUUACCAUGUAUUUAGAUUUUUUAUUUUGUGGGCCCGCUAUCAAAUUGGUUCAUAUUGAGGUCAAAAGGGUCCAAAAUUAAACUUUGUUUGAUUUCAUCAAAAAUUGAAUUAUUGGGGUUCUUUGAUAUGCCAAAUCUAACCGUGUUUUUAGAUUUUUAUACGACCGCAAACAAAUUUUGUGGUCGUAUAUUGGUAUGACGUUGGCGUCGUCGUCGUCGUCGUCGUCGUCGUCGUCCGGCGUCGUCGUCCGGCGUCGUCGUCCGAAUACAUAUUGGUUUUCGCACUCUAACUUUAGUUUAAGUGAAUGGAUCUUUUUGAAAUUUGACCAUAAGGUUAAAUACCACAAAAGGAAGGUUGGGAUUGAUUUUGGGGGUUAUGGUACCAACAGUUAAGGAAUUAGGGGCCAAAAAGGGGCCAAAAAUUAGCAUUUUCUAGUUUCCAGACAAUAACUGUGGAACGGUGUAUGGAUCUCUCUGAAAUUAUACUACAAGUUUCCAUACCACAAAGGGAUGGUUAGGAUUUGCUUUGGGGGGUUAUGGCUCAAACCGUUUAGGAAUUAGGGGCAAAAAAGGGGGGAAAACAAGGUUGUCCUGGUUAAUGGACAAAUACUUUAGUACAAAACAUAAUUUAAAGCAGUGUAAGGGAGAUAAAUCAAAUACAUCAUUGAAAUUAUCUCCCUUACACUGCUUUUAAAUUAUGUAUAAAGUAAUGGUUAAUGAACAAUAAAGAUAAUCUAAAACAGUGUAAGGGAGGUAAUCCAAAUACAACGUUUUGGUUACUUCCCUUACACUGCUUUUAAAUUAUGUUUAAAGAAAUGCAUAUUUAUAAAGGAAGACCAGUAAAAAUAUCUGCAAAUGUUUUCAUCUUUUUUUUUUACAAAAAAAUCCAUAUGAAAGAUUUGACACUAUAUUUUUAUUAAUUCUAUUAUGAAAUAGAUUAAGUUAGCACUAUGGUAAAUUUAAAUGGGUAAUUAUGGUUGCCAACUCCAUUGGAAAUUUGAAUUGAGAUUAUGACCAUAUCUUGAGGGAAAGAAUUUUUUGGGGGGAAAAAGGGGGGGGGGGAUAAAAAGAAAUUGUGGGGGGCCAAUUUUUUCUCAUUUCAGAUUUCAGAAAUUAAAAAGAAUUAUUCUUCAAAUAUUAUUUUUUUUUCAAAUUUCAAAUAUUGAAAAAUUUCAAGAAGUAAUCUUUAAUUGCACAGUAUGGCGCAUUAGAUUUGUAAAAUCUUUGAUCACAUUUAUUUAUUUGUUAUGCCGAAUCUAACAGUGUAUUUAGAUUUUUAAUUUUGGGUCCAGUUUUCAAAUUGGUCUACAUUAAUGUCCAAAGGGUCCAAAAUUAAACUUUGUUUGAUUUUAGCAAAAAUUGAAUAUAUGAGGUUCUUUGAUAUGCUGAAUCUAAACAUGUAUUUAGAUUUUUGAUUUUUGGCCCAGUUUUCAAGUUGGUCCAAAUUGGGGUCCAAAAUUAAACUUUGUUUGAUUUCAACAAAAAUUGAAUAUAUGGGGUUCUUUGAUAUGCUGAAUCUAACCAUGUAUUUAGAUUUUUUAUUUGUGGACAUUGUUAUCUAAUUGGUUCAUAUUGAGGUCAAAAGGGUCCAAAAUUAAACUUUGUUUGAUUUCAUCUAAAAUUGAAUUAUUGGGGUUCUUUGAUAUUCCAAAUCUAACCGUGUAUUUAGAUUUUUAAUUUUGGGUCCUGUUUUUUAAAUUGGUCUACAUUAAGGUCCAAAGGGUCCAAAAUUAAACUUAGUUUGAUUUUAACAAAAAUUGAAUUCUUGGGGUUCUUUGAUAUGCUGAAUCUAAACAUGUGUUUAGAUUUUUGAUUAUGGGCCCAGUUUUCAAGAUGGUCCAAGAUAGGGUCCAGUAUUUAAACUUUGUUUGAUUUCAACAAAAAUUGAAUAUAUGGGGUUCUUUGAUAUGCUAUAUCUAAACAUGUAUUUAGAUUUUUGAUUAUGGGCCCAGUUUUCAAGUUGGUCCAAGUUGGGGUCCAAAAUUAAACUUUUUUUGAUUUCAACAAAAAUUGAAUAUAUGGGGUUCUUUGAUAUGCUGAAUCUAACCAUGAAUUUAGAUUUUUUAUUUGUGGGCCCCGCUAUCAAAUUGGUUCAUAUUGAGGUCAAAAGGGUCCAAAAUUAAACUUUGUUUGAUUUCAUCAAAAAUUGAAUUAUUGGGGUUCUUUGAUAUUCCAAAUCUAACCGUUGAUUUAGAUUUUUAAUUUUAAGUCCCGUUUUUUUAAAUUGGUCUACAUUAAGGUCCAAAGGGUCCAAAAUUAAACUUAGUUUGAUUUUAGCAAAAAUUGAAUUCUUGGGGUUCUUUGAUAUGCUGAAUCGAAGCAUGUGUUUAGAUUUUUGAUUAUGGGCCCAGUUUUCAAGUUUGUCCAAGUUGGGGUCCAAAAUUAAACUUUGUUUGAUUUUAACAAAAAUUGAAUAUAUGGGGUUCUUUGAUAUGCUGAAUCUAACCAUGUAUUUUGAUUUUGGACAUUGGACCAUAAUAGGUAAAUUAAAAAAAUUCUUAGACCACAUUCUUUCUGUGUCAGAAACCUAUGCUGUGUCAAAUAUUUAAUAACAAUCCAAAUUCAGAGCUGUAUCAAGCUUGAAUGUUGUGUCCAUACUUGCCCCAACUGUUCAGGGUUCGACCUCUGCGGUCGUAUCAAGCUGCGCCCCAGCGAAGCAUUUUAUUGGUUAUUAUCUUGAAUAUUAUUGAAGAUAAAGAUAAACUGUAAACAGCAAAAAUGUUCAGCAAAGUAAGAUCUACAAAAAAGUUUUAUAUGACCAAAAUUGUCAAUUGACCCCUUAAGGAGUUAUUGCCCUUUAAGGACAAUUUUACACAAGUUGUUUUAUGUUUUUUAACUUUAAAAAUCUUCUCAAAUGAAUCUAGUAUAAAUUUUGUAUUUCAUUUCCUUGUACGUCAAGAAACAUUGACACUAUGGCUAAAAUGGAACAUAUGGGUAAAAAGCAAAAAUAAUCAUUGAUGAAAGAUUUAAGCAAAAAAAAUAACAGGUGAGCGAUUCAGGCUCUUGAGAGCCUCUUGUUCUAGUUUUCAGACAAUAACUUGUGUUCAAGUGUAUGGAUCUCUCUGAAAUUGUACUGCAAGGUACCAUACCACAAAGGGAAGGCUGGGAUUGAGUUUCGAGGUGCUGAAU